rnacentral:rRNA from 1 species
GAUGAACGCUGGCGGCGUGCCUAACACAUGCAAGUCGAACGGAGACAUUACACCAAAGCCCUUCGGGGCAGAGGAGUGAUGUACUUAGUGGCGGACGGGUGAGUAACGCGUGGGUAACCUGCCCUGUACUGGGGGAUAACAGCCGGAAACGGCUGCUAAUACCGCAUAAUCCUUAAGGGCCGCAUGGUCCAUAAGGGAAAGCUGCGACGGUACAGGAUGGGCCCGCGUCCGAUUAGUUAGUUGGCGGGGUAAAGGCCCACCAAGACGACGAUCGGUAGCCGGCUUGAGAGAGUGAACGGCCACAUUGGGACUGAGACACGGCCCAA